UACGUAGGGCGCAAGCGUUGUCCGGAAUCAUUGGGCGUAAAGCGCACGUAGGCGGUUCGUUAUGUCGGAUGUGAAAUCCCACGGCUCAACCGUGGAAGUGCACUCGAAACUGCAUAGCUAGAGUCCUGGAGAGGAAGGUGGAAUGCUUGGUGUAGAGGUGAAAUUCGUAGAUAUCAAGCGGAACACCGGGUGGCGAAGGCGGCCUCUGGACAGUGACUGACGCUGAGACGGCGAAAAGCGUGGGGAGCAAACAGGGAUUAAGAA
rnacentral:rRNA from 1 species